GACGUAGGGCGCGAGCGUUGUCCGGAUUUAUUGGGCGUAAAGAGCUCGUAGGCGGCUUGUCGCGUCGUUCGUGAAAACUUGGGGCUCAACCCCAAGCUUGCGGUCGAUACGGGCAGGCUAGAGUUCGGUAGGGGAGACUGGAAUUCCUGGUGUAGCGGUGAAAUGCGCAGAUAUCAGGAGGAACACCGGUGGCGAAGGCGGGUCUCUGGCCCGAUACUGACGCUGAGGUGCGAAAGCGUGGGGAGCAAACAGG
rnacentral:rRNA from 1 species